GAUGAACGCUAGCGAUAGGCUUAACACAUGCAAGUCGAGGGGUAACGUGUUGGAAGCUUGCUUCCGAUGACGACGACCGGCGGAUGGGUGCGUAACGCGUAUGCAACUUGCCUCACAGUGGAGAAUAACCCGGAGAAAUCCGGACUAAUGUUCCAUACACUCUUAAGUACGCCUGUACAUGAGAGGAAAGAUUUAUCGCUGUGAGAUAGGCAUGCGUCCUAUUAGGUAGUUGGUGAGGUAACGGCUCACCAAGCCGACGAUAGGUAGGGGUGCUGAGAGGCAGAUCCCCCACAUUGGGACUGAGACACGGCCCAAACUCCUACGGGAGGCAGCAGUGAGGAAUAUUGGUCAAUGGAGGAAACUCUGAACCAGCCAAGUCGCGUGAAGGAAGAAUGUCCUAAGGAUUGUAAACUUCUUUAGCGAGCGAGUAAGGACUUCCACGUGAUGGGAGUUUGAAAGUAGCUCGAGAAUAAGUAUCGGCUAACUCCGUGCCAGCAGCCGCGGUAAUACGGAGGAUACGAGCGUUAUCCGGAUUUAUUGGGUUUAAAGGGUGCGCAGGUGGUCUUGCAAGUCAGUGGUGAAAAGCUGAGGCUCAACCUCAGCCUUGCCGUUGAAACUGUAAGACUUGAGAGUACAUGAUGUGGGCGGAAUGCGUAGUGUAGCGGUGAAAUGCAUAGAUAUUACGCAGAACUCCGAUUGCGAAGGCAGCUCACAAAGGUAUAUCUGACACUGAGGCACGAAAGCGUGGGGAGCGAACAGG
rnacentral:rRNA from 1 species